rnacentral:rRNA from 1 species
AUCAUGGCUCAGAUUGAACGCUGGCGGCAGGCCUAACACAUGCAAGUCGAACGGCAGCACAGAAGGGCUUGCUCUUUGGGUGGCGAGUGGCGGACGGGUGAGUAAUGUCUGGGAAACUGCCCGAUGGAGGGGGAUAACUACUGGAAACGGUAGCUAAUACCGCAUAACGUCGCAAGACCAAAGUGGGGGACCUUCGGGCCUCACACCAUCGGAUGUGCCCAGAUGGGAUUAGCUAGUAGGUGGGGUAAUGGC